rnacentral:rRNA from 1 species
AUGUGGUUUAAUUCGAUGAUACGCGAGGAACCUUACCUGGGCUAGAAUGCGAGUGCCGUCCGGUGGAAAGCCGGAUUUCCUUCGGACACAAAGCAAGGUGCUGCAUGGCUGUCGUCAGCUCGUGUCGUGGGAUGUUGGGUUAAGUCCCGCAACGAGCGCAACCCCUGUUCUUAGUUGCCAGCGAGUAAUGUCGGGGACUCUAGGAAGACUGCCGGCGCAAGCCGCGAGGAAGGUGGGGAUGACGUCAAGUCCGCAUGGCCUUUAUGUCCGGGGCUACACACACGCUACAAUGGUCGGUACAAUGGGUUGCUAAGCCGCGAGGUGGAGCCAAUCCCCCAAAGCCGGCCUCAGUUCAGAUUGCAGGCUGCAACUCGCCUGCAUGAAGCUGGAGUUGCUAGUAAACGCGCGUCAGCUAUAGUGCGUUGAAUACGUUCUCGGGCCUU